ACUGAUAAAGGUUUGCUAGCUGCAAAGCAGACAUUCUUUUCGGUUGAUGCUAGGUGUGGUUGUGUGAGUUGGACUCUCAUUUCAUGCAGGGUAAUUAGAAGUGCAUGUCUUCUCUUCACGGGGGACACAGGCUUCUGUUUGGAAGUUUAACUUUUAUGAGUUCACCUCCAUUGUGACUCGAGCUGCAGGAAUGCAGUGCACUGCAAUGGAACGUUCCCCUUUUAUCUGCAUGUGUUAAUGCACUGUGGCCUGUGGGACAAUUGAGCAUACUGAAAAGUAGGCCUAUAUUUUUAGUUAUGUUUGAGUUGACCAUGGUAAUGCUGUUUAAUGAGGUUGGUAACUAACAUGCUUGGUUUCUCUUGAAAAGGGACCAGGCCAGCCACUGUUUCCAUGUGACUUUCUAAGCAUUUCUUUAUUGCUUCCUGUUGCUUAAUUUUUUGUUUGAUAUUGUUUGGUUAUCUGUAUUUUUACCACUCAUGUGCCACAGUCAUAUUAGCAUGUAUUUUUCUUGACUAAGUGUUGCCUUUUAUGCUGGUGGUUCUCCUCCCUGACUAUGUCUUUUGCGUAGGUUAUCCUUGUACAAGGACGGAUCUAGACUGAUGCGUUGCCCCUUCUCUUCAGGGGACCACACUGGGCGAGACACCAUAGUGGUGUGUACUUAAUAACUACAACACGGUGUGACAUUUUGUAGUGGUAUCUAACGGUCUUAAGUGUGUAUAGCUUGCUGUGUUGCAUGCUUCGACUGGUGCUGGGUUGCUGUCUCCUGUUUCUGUCUCCCUAGGGGCCUCCUGAGCAGGGGUUGUGCAUUCGCUGAUCCGACCUUCCUAUAUGGAGGAAAAUCCACCAGCCAUUUAUCCUAGCAUUUUUUAAGAUCUAUUUUAAUAACUUUUCUAUGUAUUUUUUUCACAAAAUUAUGUAAUAAAUUUUACGGAAGCCCU